rnacentral:rRNA from 1 species
UACGUAGGGGCUAGCGUUAUCCGGAAUUACUGGGCGUAAAGGGUGCGUAGGUGGUUUCUUAAGUCAGAGGUGAAAGGCUACGGCUCAACCGUAGUAAGCCUUUGAAACUGGGAAACUUGAGUGCAGGAGAGGAGAGUGGAAUUCCUAGUGUAGCGGUGAAAUGCGUAGAUAUUAGGAGGAACACCAGUUGCGAAGGCGGCUCUCUGGACUUUAACUGACGCUGAGGCACGAAAGCGUGGGGAGCAAACAGGAUUAGAUACCCCCGUAGUCCCUGAGCGGGCU